AUCAAAUUGUAUAUUACGUAGUUUUUCUGUAUAAAAAUGAUGUGAUCAACUGCCAGAAAUAUGAAGAAGCAGUAUGAUGAUGCAAAGGCCAUUCUAGAUACUAGAAGCUUUUAAUAUUUUCUGCUAAUCUCUGCUGGCAAUAGACUUUCAGAAAAAAUCUAAGUACUGUAUUAAGGUUGAUUGUACUUUUGCGCCUCCAGUAGUCUCAGACUACUCUCUGUUUAGACAUACGACAAUCGAGUCAUAGGAUGGGGUAUGGUUAUUAGUGAAGACGACAAAACCAAGGAAAUAAAUAACAUAUUUUUCCAUCCUUAUUUUCUUCCUCAUUUUUGUCAUUUGCCUCUUAGAUAUUAUGUUUGUUGGGUUCCCAAUACCCAUCUUAUAUAUGUAAUCAAGAGCGAUGAUAUCUUUCAUAAUUGUUAAAAUGGGGAGAAGAGGGGUUUAGUUGGGGAUUAUUUUUUAUUCUUGAUCAAUUCUUUCCAGAUUAUUUCAGAUUUAUUUUUUGAAUCAAAAUUGAUGUAACGAAACAUUUAAAUAUUCCAUUUUUGACUUCAUUUUUGUAAUCCUCACACUUAAAAAUUAUGGGGGUACCAAAUUUCAAUCUUUUUUGUAUAAAAAAUUUACAAGAAACUGUUGAGUUUCAUAAUAAGACAUAAUAACCAUAAUGAAAACUUUAGUUAACAAAGGGAAAGAGUCGAGUAUAUAUAUCUCAUGAACGACUAAAUAUUAUGUGAUGCAAUUUGUGCAUACUUGAUUGACUUAUGAAUUUGAGCUUGUACGCAAAAAAUCAUUCGAAUUUGAGCGGGUCAUGUUACAUGCUAAGAUCGAUUUGACACGAGCCAUGUAUGUCCUUGGCAGGAUUGUAAUAGUCAUGUCAAAAUAAUAGGCAAUUAAUGAAUUUUAAACGUUUUUUUAUCAUUUCAUGAAUACAUAAGCAUGAGUCAUUGCUCUCACCAAGUUGUAGGAUAAACGGUGACACGUCUCCUCAGGAUUAGCUACUAACACAAAAUCAUCAGCAUAUUGUUGUAUAUAAGGUAAAUAAUAUGAUUGGAAGAUUUGUCUUUUGUGUCAAUAUUCGAUAAUUUUAUCAAAACUAUUUGUGCUAAAGAAUCUCAAAAGAACAAACACAAUGAUUAGGCAUUUUUAAUUAUCACCCAAAAUUGCAAGAGGCUGAGUGUUGUUUAUUUACAAUAGUUUGUAAAUAAUACGACAGGGAGUGCAGCAAAUAAUAAAACUCCUUGAAUGAUAAUACUAUUUAAUAAAAAUAAAAAUAGGAGUAUAUUUUUAUACUAACAUAGAAAGCAUGAAAAUUUUCCUCAGCAUUGUAAUUUUUUUUAAAUAACAAGAUAGAGACUGUCACACCACCUUGCAGAUAAUAUGCCAUAUAAUAAGACGCUAAUGAUUUAAAAUGUCCAAAAAUGAUGUUGAAGUUUUGGUCCUACAUCAAAUAAUCUUUCAAAAAUUUACUUUCAGCAGAUCCCGCUAAUAUACAAAAUUAUACCCUUAGUUUGGUUGUACUCUAAGAUUUUUUAAAGGGUUAAAUAUAUUUAUCCAUUUUAAACAAUACAUUUAUAAAAAAAUGGAAACAUUAUUAUCUUGUUCUGAUUUUUUUUAGAAGCAUAAAAAGAAUAAAGGAGAACUGCAUGUUUAAUUAAUAUUAGGUCAACGACACAUGGAUAAAAAACAAAAAAGAAAAACCGGCAAAUCCAGAUAUCUGAUAAAUAAAUCAUCGCAUGAAGAGAGGAUCUUGAGGUAGUUCUGACAAAUAAUUAUUAAUAAACAUUCUAAAACAUUAUGUUUAGUAUUUCCCAUCGAUAGAGAGGGAAUAGAGGAAGGAGUAUUAUAGCCUUAGAGACGUAAUCAAAGAGCUACGAAGGUUAUAGUGCUACAUUGAGUAUAUUAUACAUUGUAUUUUGGAGAUGAACCACUUAAUCUUCCGCCUAUCUAUGAAUCGUGAUGAUGUUACAAUUGAGCCGAGGUACUCAAUCUCACAUUAAUGUUUCUCUGGACAUCUUCUUCCCCCAUACCAAGGAUCGGGGUAAUUUUUAAACAUUGUUAGAAUAAAUGAAAACAGGUAUCCAAUUCUUCUUAGCAAAAAUAAUAACAUAUCUCCUUAGGAUCUUCCAGGGACUUGAUUGUAAAAAUACAGGGCGCCCCCAGUAUGUACCCCAGUCAUUUUUGACGUGUCUAGUAAAUGACGUUUGGGUCCGCAUGUUCCAUGCCAUUCCUAAUACCAAGCCUUUCAAACAUUCGCCUUGUUAUUGAUGAAGAGUCCAUUUCUUCACAACCAAUAUUAACAAACAAAGCUUGCACUAUCAUUUUGUUAGGAAUGACUUCUGCUGCAAUGAAGCCCAGGAUUGGAACACUGAGAUAAUUACUUUUGAAAUCUCAUCCUGAGUACAUCCCCUUGUUCUAUGGGAUAGAAGGAGUUAUUCAACACUGGGCUUCUAUCUGAUAUAUAUUGGACUGCAGAAGUAAUCCCUCCUCUACUAAGGAACACACUCCUCCUGUUCAGUCAAUGAUUAUAAUUAAGCGGUUCGUAUGAACCUGGUAAAGGGAGGACAUUCUUAAUUAUGGAACUCCAUACUCAACACAUGUUGCUCCAAUGAUUACCCGAUCUUCUCACCUGUUCAUACAUUUCAGAUGGACCCAUACAUAUCCGUUCACCCAAUUGAAUACCAAUCCGUCGGUAGAAUUUUGUUUUGAUUUUAAUUGCCCUAAAAUCAAUAGAGCUUCUGAGUCGUUUUAACCACGAGAGAUUCAGCGCCUUCCACAUACCUUUUAUUUGUCAAGAACUAAGAGGCCAGCGAAUUGUUGGAGCAUUAAUCCUCGACCUUGAAAAGUAUGCUCUUGCAUGCCCCCAUACUAAAUCUUCUCUUAGUUAAUAUAUGCUCUCACAUAUCCUAUUUGAAAAAGGCACAGAUCCAAGGCCUUCAAUUUUUCAUAUCUAGUGAGGGUGGUAUUACGGAAAUAUCUGACACUUUUCUGUAAAGUAGACAAAAAACGUAAUUAAUUUUUUCUCACAGCAUUGGUACUGCAGCUAGAAGUGAGAAACAGUUAACAAAACAUAACUCGCUAAGACCAUCAUAUGUCUUAAGAUAGUCGACACAGUUGGAUAAGAGACACCCGAAAUAUUUUCGAAAUCCUGAAUGACUUCAAUGGCUUAGGAAAUGGAAUAUGCCAGUUUUUCUAUUGGUCCUAUUAGAAAUAAGGUGGAAGUUGUAGAUCUGGUUCGAUACAUUCAUUGCGAUCAAAAAGAGGUAUUGUGAUAGCAAACAAUCCUUGCCAAGCUCCACGCUGAAUGCAAAACAUAGAAUGGGCACCGGGAAUGUCAAUGCUCGAUGAUGACUUCCUAAGGAAGGCAAACCCAUGUUAACAAACCCAUCAGCAGUUCCUACCUAAAUAGCUGUUCAACAAUGAUCUUGUGUGAGACAGUAUCGAAUGCCCUUUUUGAAGUCGACAAAAAUUGUAGCCUACUUGCAUGAUGAAUAUAAGUCUUUACAUCUUGUAUUGAGUGCAGUAUAUCCUCUAGCAACCGUGAAGCCAUAAAUCCUUUUACAUCCGUCUGUAAUUUUUAAUGCCAUACUUUGACUUGUUCUUAAGGGCUAAUGUUAAGGAUCCAGUGCCCAGGAAGUCAGGAACAAAACCAUUCUUGAAUAUUUCUUGAAACACUUCCUCGAGGAUUGGAGAAAGUCAAUUUGUAAACCUUUUGAAAAAUUCAAAAGGGAACCUUGAUUAACAACUAUAUAAUGUGGAAUAAAAUCUGCAUGCUUCUUUAGAUAUUUUCUAAGGAUCCUCCGAUAUUUUGCCCGAGGAAAGUUUUAUGAAGUCAUUUUUUCUUUGGGUAACAAUUUUUUUAAGAUGUUAGAAGGAAGACUUCCCUUUCACAUUCAAUUUCACCAUUUUAUUCCUUAUUCUUAUUAGUGUUCCCAUAUUUUCAUAUUCUAGAAUCUACUCCAUUUUUGCAUUCGUGGUAUAGUUAUCAUCAUUCGAUACUUAAAAGACACUUUUUAGUUUUUCUUCUUUCGAAGCCAGCCAGUUUACGUUUCUGAAUGAAUAUUUUCCUUACUUAAUUUUCGAUAUUCCUUAUGCAAUCACAUGAAGAGAUUUUACCAUCAUUACAAGCUUUUAAUGUUUUCGGAUAUCUCGUUACAAGUUCCUUCCACUUCUAUGAGAGACACAUUCAAUUUAAAGAAGGACCUUCGAGGCUUUUGAUGGAUUAUUGAUUGAUG
rnacentral:lncRNA from 1 species